GGCUGGUCUGAUGGCAGUGGGUUAUCAGAACUUAUUAACAUUAGUGUCACUAAAGUUGGUAUACCACCCCCCCACUGCUAAAUUUGACUGUCUGUA
ensembl:misc_RNA Y_RNA Y RNA